CGUGUGCUUACAAGUAGUCAGAGCCCGUUAAUGGGUGAUGGCGUGCCUUUUGUAGAAUGAACCGGCGAGUUACGAUUUGAUGCAAGGUUAAGCAGUAAAUGUGGAGCCGUAGCGAAAGCGAGUCUGAAUAGGGCGUUUAGUAUUUGGUCGUAGACCCGAAACCAGGUGAUCUACCCUUGGUCAGGUUGAAGUUCAGGUAACACUGAAUGGAGGACCGAACCGACUUACGUUGAAAAGUGAGCGGAUGAACUGAGGGUAGCGGAGAAAUUCCAAUCGAACCUGGAGAUAGCUGGUUCUCUCCGAAAUAGCUUUAGGGCUAGCCUCAAGUGAUGAUUAUUGGAGGUAGAGCACUGUUUGGACGAGGGGCCCCUCUCGGGUUACCGAAUUCAGACAAACUCCGAAUGCCAAUUAAUUUAACUUGGGAGUCAGAACAUGGGUGAUAAGGUCCGUGUUCGAAAGGGAAACAGCCCAGACCACCAGCUAAGGUCCCAAAAUAUAUGUUAAGUGGAAAAGGAUGUGGCGUUGCCCAGACAACUAGGAUGUUGGCUUAGAAGCAGCCAUCAUUUAAAGAGUGCGUAAUAGCUCACUAGUCGAGUGACACUGCGCCGAAAAUGUACCGGGGCUAAACAUAUUACCGAAGCUGUGGAUUGUCCUUUGGACAAUGGUAGGAGAGCGUUCUAAGGGCGUUGAAGCAUGAUCGUAAGGACAUGUGGAGCGCUUAGAAGUGAGAAUGCCGGUGUGAGUAGCGAAAGACGGGUGAGAAUCCCGUCCACCGAUUGACUAAGGUUUCCAGAGGAAGGCUCGUCCGCUCUGGGUUAGUCGGGUCCUAAGCUGAGGC
rnacentral:rRNA from 1 species